rnacentral:rRNA from 1 species
AGUGAACGCUGGCGGUAGGCCUAACACAUGCAAGUCGAACGGCAGCACAGUAAGAGCUUGCUCUUACGGGUGGCGAGUGGCGGACGGGUGAGGAAUACAUCGGAAUCUACUUUUUCGUGGGGGAUAACGUAGGGAAACUUACGCUAAUACCGCAUACGACCUACGGGUGAAAGCAGGGGAUCUUCGGACCUUGCGCGAUUGAAUGAGCCGAUGUCGGAUUAGCUAGUUGGCGGGGUAAAGGCCCACCAAGGCGACGAUCCGUAGCUGGUCUGAGAGGAUGAUCAGCCACACUGGAACUGAGACACGGUCCAGACUCCUACGGGAGGCAGCAGUGGAGAAUAUUGGACAAUGGGCGCAAACCUGAUCCAGCCAUACCGCGUGGGUGAAGAAGGCCUUCGGGUUGUAAAGCCCUUUUGUUGGGAAAGAAAAGCAGCAGGUUAAUACCCCGCUGUUCUGACGGUACCCAAAGAAUAAGCACCGGCUAACUUCGUG